rnacentral:rRNA from 1 species
UACGGAGGAUCCAAGCGUUAUCCGGAUUCAUUGGGUUUAAAGGGUCCGUAGGCGGAUUUUUAAGUCAGUGGUGAAAGCCCACAGCUCAACUGUGGAAUUGCCAUUGAUACUGGAAGUCUUGAGUUUGGUUGAAGUUGGCGGAAUACGUCAUGUAGCGGUGAAAUGCAUAGAUAUGACGUAGAACACCGAUUGCGAAGGCAGCUGACUAAGUCAAUACUGACGCUGAGGGACGAAAGCGUGGGGAGCGAACAGG